UACGUAGGUGGCAAGCGUUAUCCGGAUUUAUUGGGUUUAAAGGGUGCGUAGGCGGGCUGUUAAGUCAGCGGUCAAAUGUCGGGGCUCAACCCCGUCGUGCCGUUGAAACUGGCGUUCUUGAGUGAGCGAGAAGUAUGCGGAAUGCGUGGUGUAGCGGUGAAAUGCAUAGAUAUCACGCAGAACUCCGAUUGCGAAGGCAGCAUACCGGCGCUCAACUGACGCUCAUGCACGAAAGUGUGGGUAUCGAACAGG
rnacentral:rRNA from 1 species